rnacentral:rRNA from 1 species
GCAGCCGCGGUAAUACGUAGGUGGCAAGCGUUGUCCGGAUUUACUGGGUGUAAAGGGCGUGUAGCCGGGUCGGCAAGUCAGAUGUGAAAUCCACGGGCUUAACUCGUGAACUGCAUUUGAAACUGUUGAUCUUGAGUAUCGGAGAGGUAAUCGGAAUUCCUUGUGUAGCGGUGAAAUGCGUAGAUAUAAGGAAGAACACCAGUGGCGAAGGCGGAUUACUGGACGACAACUGACGGUGAGGCGCGAAAGCGUGGGGAGCAAACAGGAUUAGAUACCCC